rnacentral:tRNA from 1 species
GCUUAAGUAUUUUUUUAAAAAAAUAUUGUUUUGUGGAAUCAAAGAAAUGAAGUGUUUUCAUCUUAGGUC